rnacentral:misc_RNA from 1 species
AACGCACAUUGCGCCCAUUAGUAUUCUAGUGGUCAUGCCUGUUCGAGCGUCAUUUCAACCCUUAAGCCCCUGUUGCUUAGUGUUGGGAGACUACGUCAGCGUAGCUCCUCAAAGUUAGUGGCAGAGUCAGUUCGAACUCUAGGUGUAGUAAAUCUCUUCUCGCCUUUGCAGUUGGGCUGCCCCUCGCCGUAAAACCCCUAAUCUUCCAAAGGUUGACCUCGGAUCAGGUAGGAAUACCCGCUGAACUUAA